CUUAAUAAUGAAAUUAAUUUAAAAGAUAAUGAUGGAUUCAUUAAAAAAAAAAACAACAAAAAAGCAAACAAAAUACGAUAUACAUACCUACUUAUACACUAAAAUUAUUUAUCAAAAAAUCAUUAAGCUAUGUACAGCUAAAUAUGAAAGACAAGUAGCUAAAAUUGCAAAUUAAAAUGUACAAUGUACAUAAGAGCGACCAACGAAUGAUCAAAUGAACGAACAAAUGAAAUUGUACAUAUUUUUAGAACAAAUUUCUUAACAAAAAACUGGAGUUUAAAUUUUUCAAAAAACCAAAAAAAAAAAAAAAAAAAACACAUUUUAUUUUCUUAAAUAAGAAACAAUUCCGAGAACAAAUUGUUUUGUAAGACAAAUUUUAUUUCGAAGCCAUAACAUUAUUUUAAGCUAACCUAGUACGCUGCUGAAGCGAAAAGCCUCCAAAGUCAGCAACGAAAGUCAAAAUUAAAUAAUGUCAAUAAAUUAAAACUUGAAAAUAAUUUUGAAGAAAUUAAAAUUCACAAAGUGCAAAAUUCUUUUGGACCAAGGAAUUAUUUUACCUGAAAAAACAUUAUUGAAAACUUUCCAAGUAUUUAAGUACAGGUACCUAAUAAUAUCGUUUGUCAAUCUCGUGUGCUGUGAAACGAAAAGCAUAACAAAAUUUUUCGUUGUGCUGUUUUUUUAUACAAAUUUCCGUUUCGCUUCAGCAGGAUACUGGGCUUUAGAAAUUGAAAUAUAUAUAUAUUUUUUUUUUUUUAAUUUAAAUUUUAGUUAGAUUGCUACUUUAUUAUCCAGAUUUUGUUAGAAAAUACAUAAGCAUAAAAAAUUACAGUUCGUUCAUUCGUUGAUCACUCUGACAGUGCUUUACUCUUAAAAAAACCUUAAAAAUUAAUUGUUUUUACUCACUCUUUCUUUAUUUUUUGGUCAAUCUGCCUUACGUUAUGUAUUCAGUAGUUACAUUCUUGGUUUUAACUACCCCAUGUCACUCUAAGCUAGCCAAAUAACACCAACCCUCCCCUUUACAGAUAGGAAAAAAUAAAAAAAAUAAAUAAAAAAAUACUACCUAAAUGGUUAAAUUUAUAAAGAUGGUGCUCUAAAAAACGGGGUCGGAUUCGGUCGGAUCCAAAUUUUUUAAAAUAUUAUACACGAACUAUUAAGCUUUCAUUCUAGACUACUAAGAGAGUGGGCAUAUGUGAGCAUUUUUUUAAAAGCCUUUUCAAAGUUGAAGAGAAAUUUUCAAAAAGGGUUAUAGAAAAACGUGUUUUAGAAUUAUUAAGAAAUAAAAUUUUAAGAUUUUUUCUUAAAUAUAUAUUUUAGAUAUCAGUAUCUUAUCAACAAAAUUUAUUUCAAGAAGAUAUCUUAAAAAAUGAGCCAGAUAUAAGAGUAUGAAAAUUUCUAAGAAAAACAUCAUUUUUUUUCUUGUGAAAUAGUCCCGACUUGAGACUCUGUAUCUUGGAAACCAAAACAUUUUGAUAAAAAUAACUUGUGGAUUAUGAAAGAAGGGACAAUUUUCUAUGAUUAACAAACAAAAAAUAUGUACAAGAAUGAAAAAAAAAAUUUCACCCAAUGUCCGUAAUUUUGUACUAGACGUUCCACUGUGCGGCCACGCUCUACUGUGUAGAAUUUACGAAAAUGCAAAUAAAACGUUAUUUCAAAAUUUGAAAGCGAUUGACAAAAAACUAUUCGGGAUUUGCUAUGAAACGCAAAUAAACAUUCGAUUUUUUUGUAUAGAGAAGAUAAACAAAACAAGUUGACUUCAACUUAAGAUUUCUCAAAGUAGAAAAAAGAUAUUGAAAAGAUUUAAACGGGCUUUAAAAGAAAACAUUUAGUUCUUUUAGAAACUGUCACAAAUUUAUUUAAAAUAAAUCACCAAGUUUAAGAACAUAACCUCAAAAACUGUUAAAAAACGACAUUUCAGAUUUUCUAACGGGAAUAUUUCAAACACGUGAUAUGAUAGAAUUUUUCUGACUUCGGAUUGUGAGCAAAAUUAAUUUUGCUCACAAGUGGCUUCUUCAAUAAAUGUUAAUUUCGCAAUAAAACACAAAAAAAGAUAUUAAAACUCCAAAAACUUACCUGCAAGUAUUUAUGAUAAACUUUUGUAUGGGCUCGACACACUGUGCGACAGCUCAGUUCAACCAUCAGCUAAGCUCACUUUCAACUCACUUUCAGCUCAAACCCUAGCUCAAAAGUUAGCUAGCUCAAAAUUUGAUCUAGCUCAAAUUUGAGCUGAGCUUUGAGCUGAGCUUAAAUGUGAGCUUUUUGCAACCCUGAGUCAAACCAACCCACCGACAGUUAACGAGAAGAAAACAAAGACACAACUCGAACCGAUACUUCGGUGGAUGAUUUUACAAACUAACACACUGGCCAGACCCAGAAGGGAGAACACGCAGCUCGAACGGAUUCCCCAGUGAACGACUUUACAAACCAACCCACUGUACAGUGGGUAACCUCCCAUACAAAGUGCGGUCAAAAAUAUAAUGACCAUUUUUUUUAAUGAAACGCCUGUAUUAUCAUUUUAUAUGAUUUAUUAUUGCAAAAAAAUGCAUCAAGUCAGUUUUUAAAAUUUUUCGUUAUUUUGAAGAAAAAUAAAAAAAGUAAAAAAAAUUUUUUUUUCUAAAUUUAAAAAAAAAUUGUUAAUGCCGGAAAUGGAACCUUACUGUCAGUCGAGCACCUUACCCUUACCCUCUAGUUCAGUCUUUUGUAAAAAUAAUAGUGCCAAAAAGGAAUUUUUUUAGUUUAACGUUGUAAUUUUUUUUUCUCCGUGUAACGUCAUUUAAACUUGUAUUACUCGAAAAGGGGAAAAGGGGAAAAAACGGCGCUGUUAUUUCGAAAGGUAGGACAGUAUUCUUCAUUUGAGAACUAAAAUUGUAGAGGGCACUCGAAGUCAAACCAACUAAAUCUCCAAUUUAAUGAAAACUAAGCUAAAUAAAAAUGAUUAAAAUUGCUUCGCUAACGAGCCCCAUUACAAUUAGCCUUAAUGUUAUUUAACAAUAUAAUCUAUGUUUUUAGGAAGUAUUAACCUUCUCGUUUAAUAUCCAUAACAAUUUAAUACUGUUCACAAUUUUUUAACACCCGCUAUCACUGUCGCAAGUUCACACCUUAUAACUGCAGCGAUAAGAAAACUGUACCUUUUUUUAUAUACCGACUUUGAAUGGCUAUUAAGAAAUGAAAAAAGGGGUAACCGUCAAACAUUUUUUGGUUUUGGUUCGAUGGGAGAUUGUAGAACGUUGUUUAAUCAUUGGAUUUAAAAAAACUGACAUUUACUUUUUUUUAUUUUUGACCUAUGGCGGGACCCACUGUGCACUGGCCAGAACGAGAAGGGCAACUCGAAAAUCCCCAGUGGUCGAUUUUACAAAAACAACAACAAAAAAUGCACACAAAUAAAGCAAGAAAAAACAAAACAAGAAUAAACCAAUUUUAAUUAAAUUCACAAUCGCUCUCUCUUUUUCCUCGCAAAGAAAAAUCAACAUUUAAAAAAAAAUCAACAAAAAUAAUAUGUAAACAAAAACACACAAAAAAAAACGUUGGCGGCGGCGCGACACGGCUUUAAAAUAAAAAAAAAAAUUUAUGGGAGAAGGGCAAAAAAAAAUAAACUACUAAAUCGUAGGUUCUCAGUGAAUAUAUAUUAUAAAAAAAAUAAUAAAACUACUCACUAUUAAUUUUGGCAAUUGUUUUACAAAACAAUUCAGCUUAUAAUAAUUUAUUGAUAAUAAUAAAAUCAAAAACAAACAAAACCACUUCACUAAACCGGGUAUGGUUUGUUUCGCUUUUCUUAUUUCGGUUUUUGGUUGUUUCGUCUUAGUCGAUUCGCUAUUUUAUUGUUUCGUAUUUUCGUUGUUUAGUUUUUUUAUUUAUUUCGUUUUUCUUUAUUUCGACAAAACUUAUAUUCCGUUUUCUUAUGACUUCGUUUUUAGUUUAUUUUAUUAUUGAUUACUUCGUUUUUUCAUUAUUUCGUUUUGGAAUUAAGUCGAAUUAAGUUCACUUGGACUUUAAUUAUUUCGCCACCAUUUGUUUCGCCCAUUUUUUUGUGGAUGUUAAUAGCCUAAGGGCGUUAUUAACAUCCACAAAAAAAUGGCGAAACAAAUGGUGGCGAACAAUUCGCGUCAUUUCGAGUGUCUGUUAAUUUUAAAAAUGCCCAAAAAAGAAAAAAAAAAAACGAAUUCGUUACAAUUUAAGGUAACAGAUCUCUUAAAUUAUAACGAUUUGCUUAUCUUUAAUCCAAAAGUCUUCAAAACCCAAAACAAUCCACAAAACUGAAGACGGAAUGACCAGAUGCCGAAAUAAACUAAAAGCGGAAUGAACCUUGUCGAAACAACUCAUUGGACUUGUAAUAAAAAUGCGAAAUAAAUAAAAAUCAAGAAGACACAAGGCGAAGUUAUAGUUGGGCGAAGUGAUCGAAAUACGAAGUAAACGAAAACCCAAAUAAAGGAUGGCGAACUAAUAAAAAAAAAUUGUGUCAAAAACGAAAUAACAGAAAUCGAAGUAAAAAAGGCGAAACAAUAGGCACCCCACUAAACCACACCUCACUCCUCACCGUGUGGAAAAAGUGGAGUAUAUCGCGAAAAAUCAGAGCGUUGCGUUGGAGUAGAUUAUUUUUUCCCUCAAAAGUGGAGCAAAUUUGCUCCGAUCGGAGCAGUGUUUGAACCCUGGGUGCAUCCAUCUUCUUCUCCAUAAACAAAAAAUAGCAAGACUGGAAACUUUCGUACGUCUUUCCCCCCAAAACCCUUUUGUGUACAGUGCUGUCUGUGAAUAUAUGUGAAAGCCACCACGUUGGUAAAUGACGUUAACACGCACACAUUUAUAGAUUCACUACAUUCACCACACAUCGGACACGAACACAACGAUAGGUUCACGACAUUCACCACACCUCGCAGCUUGUAGGCAAACGUCAGUUGACCGCCGAGUUUCCAGUCUUGGUAUAUUUUAUUUAUGUUCUUCUCUCUCACUUUCUUUCGCGGUAUUUAUCAGACAAACAAAAAAAAAACAAAGCCAGAAAAAGGAUAGGUAUCACGCUGCAGACGAUCAACAGCUCUUUUCAGUUUUCACUGGAUUCUCGCAGAUCAUGAGUGCGCCAAGUGAAUUUGAAGAAAAAUUAAAAUGAGAGAUAAGAAAAAGGGCAAGGGACAUUUAUAUACUGUUGGUUGAGAACUAGACAUAACCCCUUAAUUAAGAAACUAAGCACCAUUGGACUUAACGAUCGCUUUAUUUUAUGGAUUUCUUCGUAUCUCAAAAAUAGAUUAUAAAGUAUUGUAUUUAAAAAUGAAUGUUCCCAAUGGUUUAAAGUUAAUUCGGCUGUACCACAAGGUAGCCACCUUGGUCCUGUAUUGUUUGUCUUAUUUAUUAAUGAUCUUCCUUUUGUUUUAAGUAACUCUAUGGCUUUAAUUUAUGCCGAUGACGUGAAAAUAUUUCGAUGUCCUGUCAUAUACUUAUUUGUUGAACACGUCUCAAUUAGUCUAUCAAAUUUCUCUGACCUCUGUGUGGUGUUGGAUUCAUAAUAUUCAUUCACUAACCAUUACAAUUAUAUUGGUUUCAUUAAAAGAUUUGCUCGUGACUUUCGUGAUCCUUAUGUGCUUAAAAUUCUGUAUGUUUCAUUUGUUAGUUCUACUCUUGAAUACGGUUGUAUUGUAUGGGCCCCAUACGCGGUUCAUGUGUCAUGUCAACAGAAUAGAAUGUGUUCACAGAAGAUUUUUGAGAUUUUGUUUACGUUUUCUUCCCUGGUCUUGUAGGAUUGAUUUGCCACCAUAUUCACAUAAACUUCAAGUAAUAAAUGAGUGAAUCAUUGAGUGAUUCCAAUCGAAAACGACAUUAAUGUAGUUGAAAUUGUUUUUGAAAAAUAUUGUUCAAUAAAACCAACUGUACCUACUGGAUCUACUCUUUAAAUGUAUUCAACUUGUGUUAGCGACUUUUUUUCAAAUAACGACUUUUUCGGCAAAUAAGCGACUUUUUUUCAAUUUUUCAGAUUAGCGACCUUUUUUUCUGAAAGCAACUUUCUUUUAGCGACCUUUCAAAAAUAUUCAACGGUAACGCUGAUGAAAGGUAAAAUAAUAAGCUUUCACAUGAUAUAAAAUAUUUUAUAGGUUAUCAUUAAAAAAAUUGAUUCAAUAAGGUGAGAAGAUAAAAUUAUAUGUUAUUUUUGCUUUUUUUUAUGAAAUCUGAAUAAAUAUUUUGAGCUGAAAUAAUAAGCUUUCUGAUGGUAUAAAAAUGGAUUUUUGGGUGAUGGAAAUGAUUGUUUUUAAUAAAUUAUUUUAAUACUUUUUGCGCAUUGUAAAAAUUUAAAAUUUGCCUUUUAAUGGAAUAAUUGUUUUUGUAAGCUUUUUAAAUAAAAUACCAAUAUCGCAAGUAAAAAUUAAUAUAAUGAGAAAUGAAAAAGGGUAAUUUUGUUUAGCUUUUUCUUGUAAAUUAUGAUUGUUUGAAAUGAAUAAACGCUUCAAUUGACUCAUUUUAACCCUAGUUUACGGCACACAAAAUAAUGCAAUAACCCCAAAGCUUUUAUGCACCUCUAAUUGUUCAUUAUCAACAAUUUGAUGCAUUGUCUCUUUCUGUUAUUGAUUAAGGUAACAGUUGCGGUGUCUUUUUUAUGAUAACACGUGUUUGGUUUUGCCAAAAUAUACCUAAUAAAAAUUGUUGAAAAUAGUCCAUUUAAAGUCUUGGGGUUUGCAUAAACCCCAAGUUUGGUUUGUGACUUUUUUUCAGAAAAAAAUUCCAGAAAAUUAUAUAAAACCGCUUUUAUGGAAAAAAGACAAAAAACGUAAACAAAAAUUAAUUUCGUUCACUGAGUUUUCAUCCCAGGUCGAAAAAAACGAUUUAGAAAAAAGUUAUAACCAUUUCGCAAUAACCCAAAUCCGUAAACUAAUUUUAAACAAAAGCACACAACCUGUUUUCUUACUACUUUAUCACGUAAAAUCAUCAUCCGUAAACCGGCUUUACAGACAACCACUUUUUUUUUUAAUUAACGCGCAUAUCAAGGGGUUAUGAAUACCCUUAGAUUGUUAUAAAAACACAAUGCGAGCUUUUAGGAAAAGAGGAGAGGAUUUAGUAGGAGACAUCGAUGUACAUUGACUUUAAACCCUUGUAGAUUGUAAUGCGGAGGAAAGACAGAGCCAGAUAAAGCAUUCCACAUACGAGUUGAACGGCUAAAAUAUGAGUCUCUAUACUUAACUGUACGGCCGAAGUUGGUUCCAGGUAGAAUUUAUGGGCAUUCCUAGCGAGGUGUGUAUUGCGGUUAAAAUUCUUUAGGGGAGGAAUGCAACUAGCUACUUCACUAGAGCACUGAUUAUAAAAAAAGCGAUAAAAGAGUGAAUGUCAGGUUACAUUACGACGAUGUUCAAGAGAAUCUAUUGAUUCAGUAAUUGCUCCAUCGCCAAUCAGUUUUAAUGCUCUGUGUUGUACCCUAUCUAGUAGGCGCAAAGAUGUUUGGGAAGCACCUGACCAACUGUGUGAAUUAUGCUCUAGUUUAGGUAGGACGUAGGUUUUAUAAAUGAAGGCCAAGUCUGAAGGUGUGAAGAAUUUCCCGCAUCUUUUAAGAAAACCUAAGCAUUUAACACCAUUUUUGGCAACUUGAAAUAUGUGGUCGUUCCAACGUAUGUAGAUCAUCAUUAACACACGUACCUUUACCUAGUACUGAUAGCUUUUCGGUUUCAUUGAUGCAGGUACACCAUGGAUAGUGGCAAAGGCGGUACAUUGAAUUUCAACGACAAAAGACAGCAUUGGGUUUUCGAAGCAUUGUAUUCUAAUCGGUUUUCGUAUCCCCAUUUUACAAUACUGUCGAGAUCAGAAUUCAAUGAACUAAUCAUACGCAACCGUUCACGCUCUAUAUCCGAGGAGCAGGGACGUGAAGUAGGAAAUGAAUAUGAGAAGCUAAGGGUUGAGUAGUCGGCGAAACAAUUCACUGGAUUAGUAGUUUUUGAUAAGAGAUCAUUUAUGAAUAUAAAAAAAAGAGUCGGAGACAAAACGGAACCCUGGGGCACACCAGCAUUUAUGUAGUGAAUGUCAGAUUUAUAACCAUCCAACACAACUUGUGUUGAACGAUUAGAUUGGAAAGAAUUGACGUUAGUGCAACUGGCCGGUAAUUGGAUGGGGAGAACGAUUCGGCUUUUUUGGGAACAGGUUGGACAUACGCAGUUUUCCAACUGCUCAGAAAAAGUCCAGUUGAAUGGGAUAGAUGGAAAAUUUUGCGAAGUGGCUUUGCCAAAGUAGAAGAAAACCUCUUCAGAAUAAUGGCGGGGAUACCAUCUGGACCAGCGGAUUUUGUGUAUAUUGAGAUCGUUUAAGACUCUCGCUACCGAGCGAGUGCGAAAAAAUAUGUUUUGCUUCAUGGUAAAGUUUACACUCUCAAGCUCGGGAGGAGCCAGGUUGCUAUUUGAAAGCGUAGAAUUCGCAGCAAAUUGUGCUGCCAGCAAUUUGGCUUUGUCGAAAGAACUGACAGUUGCAAUGCCGUUGAAGAAAAGCGUUGGGAUCGAAGAUGUAGUUGAGUCCUUGAUGUUUUUGACAAAAGACUAAACAUUUUUGCUACCUUUUGGACAUGACAUUAUUUUUUGUCGAAUUUGCCUAUCAUGUAAAAACUUAGUCUUCCGAAUGUGGGCGUUACAGAUAUUUUUGGCCUGUUUGAACUUUAAUUGUUUUUCUACUGUAGGGUCAUUUUUAUAUUUCCGAAAACAUUCUUUUCUCAUCCUUAUCACCUCUUAACAGCUCGAAUCGAACCACGAAUUUUCUUUGGGGGUGAUACUCUUAAUUCUGUGAGGAAUAUAAUUUUUCAUGCCGUUAAGAAUAACGUUAGAUAUCAUAUCAGCUGAUGCAUCAACGUUAACCUCGAGAAAGCACAAUGACCAAUUAAAAUUUCGAAAGAAAUUGUUCAGGCCAUCCCAAUUGGCUCUCUCAUAUUGCCAAACAGUUCGCUUAGGGAUUUUUACUUUUCUUAUAACGGCGGAAUACGCAAAAUCUACCGAUAUGACACAAUGUUCCGAUGUGCCUAGAAGAGAAGAUAAUUUUACCCUUUUUUUAGGGAUGAGAAUAAAAGAACAGAUCAAGAGUGCUAGCAGCAUGACCUGAAAUAUCUGGAAUCCGAGUCGCUCGUCAACAAGCUGAGUUAAAAGAUUUAACUCAGCGAAGAUUUAUACAUAAUCUCAUAAUCUUCCUUCGGGUGUUGUCUGGCCAGAAUGUCGAAGCCAACCCGAAUUGUGGACAUUGAAAUCGCCCGCAAUUGCGAUCUCAGUGUGAGGGUUUUGGGAAACAAUUCUUAAUAUAGAGUCUGAAAGUCCAUCUUACUCACUGUAGGUUGAUUAACAAUCUAAAUUGGGGCUUCUAUAUAUGAAACAAUAGUGGAUGGAUUGCUUUUGAACAAUAAAUUUUAUCCACUUUUUAAAUAAAAACUAUUAACUUUUAACGAAGAAAAAAAUAACAAAAAUAAUAAAAAAAUUAUUAAAAUUAUUUUUAUUUUAAGUGGAGUGAUUGAAUACAAUUCAAUAUAAGUUGGAGUUGAGGUCACUUGAACUUAUAUUGUAUUAACUUUUAUAUUAUUUUUAUUUCGUCAUCUUGGUCACCUGAAAAUGCCAAAAAUGUUGAUACCAAUUUUUAAUUUCUGCAUUUUAGGCGUUUGUUGAUUUUUGAAAAAAAAAACGCGCUUGAUAUUAAUAAUCGCAAGUGGCGAAACGCGAAACACACUGAUUCCUACAACAAAAAUAUUUUAGAAACAGAGAAUAAUUCAUAUUAACGUUUGUUUUUGUUUUAGUUUAUAGAACAUUUUUGUUUUAUUUUCAAUUUUGGUCUAAUUAAAGUAUUUUUACUUAAAAGAAUCUUCUCCGAAAAUCGUUGUCUUCCCAUUGAGAAAAAUGAUCCGGCCUUUUUCUAACAACUCUUUGUUUUCUUGAUACUGCAGGAAGCAAAUCGAUAAGAAUUUCUCAACAAAAUAUUUUUCUUUUCUAAUGAAAAACAACAUUAUAAGGGUAUUUUUAUUUUUUUUUGAAAGCCAUUUAUUCUUAGGAAUAACUCCUUAUUUGACUGUGAAACGAACGGAUAACAUUUAUUCCUAAGAAUAAGUGCUAUCUGACUGUUUACCUGGCGAUUGAAAAAUUUGCCCUUUAUAAAACUAUAAUAAUAUAUGAGGGGAAAAUAAAAAUACAAAUAGGCAUGCAAUAACUUUUUUAUUUUUUUUUUUCAAUUUCCCUUAUUUAGGGCCUUAACUUUUGAUCUAAGGUAUGUCUCCUCUGAAAACACCACUUUGAGAAAUAACGGACAACCAUACUAUACAAAUAAACUGACAUGAACCUACACGAACACAUUCCACAAAUAAAAUUCCCUUGAUUAUUGGAUUUCAUAACCAUUUUUUGACUUAGAGGCGGGAUAUAGCAACAAAGUCAAUAUCAAUUAGAUAGGCUAUACUUUACUUACCGAUAGGAAAUCAUUUAAGAAAUUGUUUUCAAAAAAAAAAUUUAUUCAGCAAAUAUUUUUUAUUAAACACCUAUGAAUUUUUGUGUUUAACUGCUUAUUUGGAUCAGAAAAAAAAAGGAAUUAAUUUUAAACAAAGCGGUUGUUCAAUUGAAAAUAUUAUUUGCAAAAACAAAUUUUUUCAGUAGGUAAUAUUCUACAUAUCUAUUAGUGUGGCAUUUGUUCUUUUAUCUUAUAUAAUACCGCUGGUUGUCGAUUUAAAAAUGUUUCUUCAUCCGUUUUAAUGAUCGCUAUAACCUGCCUUGAAUCCCAUAAUCGGAAAUCCUGCUUUUUGAACUUGAGAUAUAUUAUAAUAUAUUGUGGAAAAUCAUCAUAUAUGAUUUUAGGGUAUUUUUGAUGUUGAAUCUAAAGACACAAAAAUAAAGAAAAAUUAUAGCCAAUUAAAAACAAGGGUGCUUGUUUUUUGACCUCACCAAAUAGAAUAUAACCGAGACCCAUGUGAAAUUCGGAUGAAGGUUUAAGAUAAAGCAGGGACAAAGAAUUCAUAAAGUUCUUAAAAAUACUUUUGGUGAAAGGGUGUUUUUUUGAUGGCAUGAGUUGUGUGUGAGGAAGGUAUCGUAGCAGCUGACAUACAUUUUAAUAAUUUUUUAAAUUUGGUAAAAUAGUUUCUUUUCGUAUAAGAGUUAAGAAUCUAAAAAGUCUACAAAAUUAUCUUGAGUAAAAUGUUUUUUUUAAAGAAAUGAUGAAUUCAGAAUUUGUACCAGAAAAUCUGGGACAAAAUUGUUACCAAAUUGGUUAAAAUGUAUCAUUUAAAACAGAAACCAACAACACAAGCAGUCUAUACAAAUAUUUUAGGUGAAAGCGUGUUCUUUUUUUGGGAAAUAGGGAAAAUCCACGAUAAGUCCGAUAAUAUCAAUGUUAUAAAAGUUACUCUUACGAAAUUUAUUAAAAAUGUUGUCUCUCGCAUGGGAAAAAGGAUUAAAUAAGUCCAGUAAAAUCUGUAUUUAGUCCCAAAAAACCAAUGAUUCUUUCUCAACCCAUCAAAAAAACACACUUUCUCCAAAAAUAUUUUUAACCCUUUGGGUACCAACGUUACUCUCAUGUAACAUAUCUUUAAAAAAUCGUAAACAAUAUUCCAUCAAAUAAUUUUUUAGGUUUCGAUGGCUUAAUUGGAAGAUAAUAAUGCCUAGUUACUGGAUUAGUACAAAAAAUUAGUCAAAUAUCAUACAUACUUUUAAUUUUUUUUUAUCAAAAAAGGGACUGAAAUCCAUACUUUUUUUUUUGCAAAAAAAAAUUUUUUAAAUAUGGUCAUAAUUUUGAAAAAAUAUAUAAAAAAUGUCAAUCCAAAAAGUGUUUUGUGUUUUGGCUUAGAAGAAGUAGCAUACAUAAUUGUUCUAUAAAAAGUAAUUUUCUCAGUUGUCCUACUUUUUUUGGUGGUCAUAGGCAGUGCAUGUUACUAACAUGUAAUAUUUUGGAAAAUAAAUUUUUGCUAUUCAUAUUUCUGAUGAUGAUGUUUUUGACACGAAAAUACUGAAAAAACAUUUUUUAAUAUUGAUUUUCAUACCUUGGGUUCGAAAGGGUUAAGAACUUUGUUUCUGCUUUAUUUUAAACCUUCAUCCCGAAUUUGAUCAGUGUAGCAUGUUUUUCACAUGGGUUUCGGUUAUAUUUUACACAGAGAAAACAAACCACAUAAAAUUAAGCGGAUCGCACCUUAACCCCUUGUAACCCAACAUCGUAAAUUUUAAAAUUAAUAAAGUCAAUCGAAAGGGCUUUAGCUAUAAUAAAACACGUAUUUUUUAAAAAUUCAAUAAAUUCAUUAGGGUCAAUGUGGGUAAAUGUAAACAGGGGUAAAUGAAAACAUGGCUCAUAACAAGCUUCAGUUAAAUCUCUUUGAUGCAUACAUAAGUACAAAUCGCGGACGCAUGUAUCCUUUAACUUAUACGUCAAGCUCAUUGCUGUCAAGAGAGAAUUCAUUCGACGAGCGUAUUUUCCGUGAAAGAUAAUUUUUUAAAGUGCCAUACAAGUCGUAAGUCUUUCAGAAAAAUUAAAUAUUUUUGCAGAUUCAAUUAAGUCAGUAUAAUUUGCAAAUACUUUUUUGUUUUUAAUUUUGAUGUAGAUUCUAUGUGAUACAAGCAAAUUUUAAAAUACAGGACAUUUAUUUCGAUUUGCAUGUGUUUACAUUUACCCCAGAAUAUUUUUCAUAAUGGGUAAAUGUAAACAACGUAUUCUGGGGGUAAAUAUAAACAUAUAUUUUUGCUGAAAUUAUUGGUUUUAAUAAAAAUAACGUAUUUUAAGUCAAUUACUAUUGCUAAAGUGCCGCGGAGUCACAUUUUAAAGUAGCCAACACCAUCAUUUUCAGUAUAUAAAGAAUCAAAGGAAGAAAACAAAAACUUUUAUUGGAAUUUGAAAAAGUUUUUGUCAAAUACCUCCUUGAACGUUUUUCAAGUUGUUAUCUAUAUGAUAAAGAGGAAAUUCUAAAUUUUAAAUUUUAAAUCUCAUGUCCGCGAGUACUAAUUUUCUUGGUUUGAAGAUAAGGUGCAGGUUUGAAAAAAUUGAAAAACUACUCUUCAGAUAAUUGUGUCAGAUCAACAUGAAUAAGGUGCAUUACUUUUCAGGGAUGGUCAUAUUGAUUUGUUUGUGGAUUUUGUUGGAAUCAGCGUUAGAAAAUACCUUGAAAUGAUAUGGGUUAUGUUUGUAUACAUUAAAGAAUCUAAAGUUUUCCUAUUAUUUUUUUUAAAUCUGCACCUAACUUAGUUUAACCUGGAAAAUUAGAACUUGCGGACACGAGAUUUUUUUAGAUUUUUGACAUAAAUUAUAGAAUAUCCAAACAAACAUAGAAACCAAAAAAUUAGCCUAUGAGCACUAAUUCCAAGAUUGUACCUGGAUGUUUUUUAGUGCACAUCCCAAAAUUUCCUCUUUUCUCAAAAAAUACCAUUUUGUCAUAGAUAUGAAUGUUUUUUGCAUUGCAUUGUUUUGAUUCUGAAUGAUAAUGUAUCUUAAAACCUUCAUGCUAAAUUUGGUUCCGCUACCAUACCUUUUAAGGGUUUUUCGGUAGUAAGUUAGCAACUGUUAUAAUAAUAUGGGUUGAAAGAUGAAAAACAGGUAUAACUGUUUCCAGAGACGUCAGAUUGUCUUGAUUUUAGAUUUUUUUGGAAUCAGCAUUAAAAAAUACCUUGAAAGCAUGUAUUAUAUGUGUAUAUAAUACCAUAGCCUAUUUUUGCUAAUUUUGAAAAUCUCCAUUUCGCGAUUUGACCUCGAAAUCGCGACAAGCGGACAUGAGAUUUUUCUAGACUUUUGAGAUAUGUUAUAGAAUGGCAAAAGGAAGAUAUUGAGCAGUAAAAAAAAAAGUUUAAAUAAUUUAUUUUUGUAUAUAAAUGCAAAAAUUCAAACAAAAAGCUAUCUAAUAUUUAUUUUUAGGCGCAUUCCUAAAAUCCAAAAAUAAAACCCUGUUAGUUUAUGCACGAAAAAUAUUUUUUCUGAAUUUCGUAGUUUUUAUAUAAAUUUGCUUGUUUUCCAAAAAAGCCGAACUUUCAACAUUAACUGCCAAUUAAAAACUAUUGGGCUAUUUAUUAGAAAUAUGGCGCAUUAUUUCGAUAAAGCAAUCCUUAAAGAUUGUGUAAGAAGCUUUAAAAGAAUAAAAAUAUGUUUUUUACAUCUUUUGGGCGAUCUUUUUCGGUUUGUUACAGAAAUGUCACAUGGGGCUACAAGGGGUUAAUUUAUGAGGAUUUCUGCAUGGUUUUUUGCUAAGAUGACUUUCACCUUAAAUUAAGGUGACAUCACCUUGUUAAGGUGACAUCACCUUAAAUUAAGGUGACAUCACCUUAAAUUAAGGUGACAUCACCUUAAGUUAAGGUGACAAGUCACAUUAAUUUCUUGAAUGCGCAAAUUAAAAAAAAAAACAAAACUGGCAGCCACCGGGUAUCGAACCUACAACUACUGUUGGGUUACUAGGCCAGUGCCUUACCACUGUGCUAUCUCACUGUUGGAAAUGAGUAUGAUAAACUGCAAGUAAAGCUAAAGUGUGACUAUCUAUAAUUUUAAAAUUUUUAUUUUUGGUCGGUUUUUUAAGAUGAACAUUCAAAUUAAAAUAAGAUGAAUUUCACAAUAAAUUUAACUGAGUUUAAGUGGAAUCACCUUAUUUUAAGAGGAUAUCAUCUUAUUUAAAGGUGCUGAAAUUUAAUGUGCGCAUUAUCUUAUUUUAAGGUGACACUUUUUUCUCCGUAUACCUGUUGAAGUUUUUAUAGACUUUUUUUCUGCUUGGUUCUUAUCCCAAAAGCAAACUUUUUGCCAAGUUUCAUGAGUGUAACAAUUUUUUUUAUUUGUUGAUUUUAUGUAGGUACUAUUUUACCUAUACUAAUUGUAUAUUGAAAUUAAAAGCAAUUAUUUUAGCUACAUAUAUUCGAUUAACAUUAUUUUGAAAACUUCAAAAACAAAAAUAUUUGACUAAUGGCGAAUGGCCCACUACUAGCUACAAAUGUAACAAAUCACAAGUCGAAAGCUUUAUGAGGAUUGGAAUGAUUUAUGACCGACUUUGAAGGAAAUCAAAAGUUGUGAUUGGAAAGUUGAAAAAGAGAUAUAUGUAAUUUGUUAAAACGCUUAAAUGUGUAUCGACAACAAUGCUGACUGAAGUCAGCCCGUCAACGAACUAAAACCUAAACGAAACUUGUUAGUUGAUCGGCAAAUCGAAAGACCUACAUAUAGAUCAAAAACUAUUCUAAUUUCGACUUGCAACAAGACAAUUGUGUACUUAAUUUGUGCUGUGAUAAUAGGGUGUGAUCCAAUAACUGGUGACCCAGUUAGCGAACACGUUCGCAAAAGAAAAAAAACGAGAUCUUGCUUAAUUUAUAUUAAACGAAGCGAAGCAAUAAAUAACGUUCAUUUAUCGUCAACUAUAUACGCACGAGAACUAAAUAUGUGCUAAGAAAUAUCAUAUUUUAUAACCCACAAGCAGAAGCGACGUCACAUUGUCCACCUAUAUAUAUGUAUAUACUUACAAAUAUACGCACAUAGAGCAUCAGAGCUGGCGACCAUCUAUUGAUCUACUAACACAAGGUUUUGUGUAUGCAAACAGUUAAUACUAAAGCAAGGCCCCGCUGUAUCAGAAGAAACUUACAACAAAUACCUUAACAUCGACGGCAGUAAAAUCAGAAACGAAAAUCUGCUAUCAUCCGAAUAUUAAAACUACCGUAUUCUAGAAGAAACCCAGCCUGUUACAUCGGAAAAAAUUUUCGCAACGUGGGAUUUUUGUUCAUCAAGUCAUCAUUUGAAAUAAUAUCAGCACUUAACAAUUUCUUAAUUAAAUUUUCAAUUUCUUUAUUAAUUUUUUUUGGCUCAUAUUAUUUUUAACUUUUAAAAUGAAUCAGCAUUUAAUAAUUUCUAAAUUUCAUUCUCGCUAUUAAUUUUUUUGAGUUUUACGAUUUGCCGAAUCCAUUAACAAGCCUUCAAUUUCAAUAUGCCCGAAAUGAAAGAGCUAGAUGUCCAGUCAAACGGCACACCACCCGUCGGAGGAGGCUCAGGGAACGUUGUGAAUACAGUAGAGCACAAAAUAAGCGCUUUACAUUUCAAAAAUCUGCCAUUUUGGCCCGAUAAUCAUGAUGUGUGGUUUGUUGCAUUAGAAUGACAGGAUAGGUCAGAUAACGCGUGAUAUUUUACAUCUUUGGGUUUACUAGACGCGCGUCCGAUUAAUUAUUGUAAAGAUGUUAUAAUGAAGCCACCCGCGAGUUCGCUUUAUGAAAAUUUUAAACAAACAGUUUUAUUUCGUCUAUCGGAAUCUCAUGAAACGCGACUUAAUAAACUUUUAAACGACACGUCUUUAAGUGAUAAGACACCCAGCGAACUAUUUCGUGAAAUGCACGCAUAAGCAGGAACUCAAAUUUCGGAAUCGGUUCUAAGAAAUCUAUGGAUACAAAGACUUCCACCGGCUGUACAAGCUGAUGUUAUAGGAAAUGCCGAGACUCUGAGGUAGUAGCAGGUAUUGCAGAUAGAAUUUUAAGCAACACAUCCAUCCAAACUGGUGUUUCGGUUUUAUCUAAUGAAACAUCAAUUGAAUCAAAUUUUGAAAACAGGCAGAGAGAAAUUUCAGAAUUAAGGAAGCAAAUUAAUGAUAGGAAUCAGCAGGUCCAUUUCUCCAAGACGGAGAUUUUCGAAACGGCGGCAUUACAACUCACACGUGCGCUUAUUUUCUCCGAUUUGUUGGUACCACCGAAAUUGGUGUAAUAACGCAAGAUAAUUUAGGUACUCAACCUUGUAGGCUUAGGCGUUAAGGGCACAAAGUAACGGAAAUUUAGUUUUCUCAAUCGAUUGCGACUUGCGAUUCAGGCUUAAUUCAAAACUCUCGCCUUUUCAUCCGUGACCCCUCCGGCCAAUUCCGUUUUCUGAUAGAUUCCGGAGCAGACAUCUUCGUGCUUCCGAUUUCUUCUGCUUUUCCGAGACCCAAACCUAGUGGACGAUUAUUAUAUGCAGCAAAUGGUUCUCCAGUUCGAAUUUUCGGACGCUAGAAAAUAACCAUCGACUUAGGGUUUUAUCGCAAGUUUACUUGGAUAUUCAUAUAUGCAGAUGUAUGUAGAUAAACCGAUAAUCGGAGCUGACUUUCUAAAAGCCUUUGGUCUUUUAGCCGACAUUAGAAAUAAACGUUUAUUGGACCUCCAUAACCAAAAAUCAAAAGGUAAAGAGUACAAGGCCCUCGUGUGAAUUGACCCUUUUAAAUAAAGACGCGACAGCCAAGAAGUUAUAAAUCUCAUUAAAAACUACAAUAUUAUAUCCAACGGUAACAUAUUCGUGUGACCAGCACAGCAAGAAGUAACACACCAAAUAGAAACAGGUGUCACUAAGCCACUAGCAGUUAUAUGCCGGCCAGCAGCAAUCCUUGGGCUUCACCAUUACAUCUGGUUAAGAAAAAAAAUGGAGAGUGGAGACCUUGUGGGGACUACCGUCGGCUUAAUGCUUCCACAGUGCCUGACAAUUAUACUACCCCACCAAUUCAAGAUUUUGCAAACGAUCUUUUCCGUUUUUUAUUUAGUUCGAGCCUAUCACCAAAUACCCGUCCAUCCGAAUGACAUUCCAAAAACGGCAAUCUGAACUCCUUUUGGUCUAUUUGAGUUUUCAAUGAUGACCUUCGGACUGAGGAAUGCCGCACAAACUUUCCAACAGUUCACCGAUUUAGUCUUAAGGGACUUACCAUUUUGCUUUCCGUACAUCGAAGACAUACUCAUUGCUUCAGAAAAUUUUUCUGAGCACUUAGAACACCUUAAAAUUGUUAUUUGCCAGGCACGGUUUAGCUAUCAAUACGGACAAGUGCAAAUUUGCUCAAACCACGAUAAAAUUUCUAGGCCAUUCGGUAUCGGCUCAGGGCAUUGAAUCAUUCCCCGAGAAGGUUAGAGCCACAAAAAAAUGUAAGCGCCCAAUAAAUGUCCAAGAAGUUCGCCGUUUUUUGGAAAUGCUUUAUUUUUAUAGGAGGUUUAUACCAGCAGCAGCCGUAUCAAAAUUUUUGGCUCACAAAGUUUCUCAAAGGGCGAAAAAAGAAAAGCGAUAAAUCAAUUAUUAUCUGGGAUACUGAACCAAAUGAAUCUUUUCAAAAAUGCAAAGACGAACUUUGAAACGCAACUCUUCUAGCUUUUCCAGCAAGUAGUAAGCAAAUAUCACUCUACGUGGACGGUUCAGAUGUAGCUGUAGGCGGCGUAUUAAAGCAAAUGGAUAUUCAAGGAUGGCAACCCUUUUCCUUUUAUUCAGCAAAGCUAAAUGAUAGUCAAAAGAAAUGCAGUGCUUAUGACAGGGAGUUGCUAGCGGCAUAUUUAGCUAUCAACUAUUUUCGUUGCCUUUUAGAAGGCAGAAACUUCCGUAUCCUUACGGACCACAAACCACUCACAUAUGCUUUAAGGCAGAAAUCAGACAAAGCAUUUCCUAGGCAAACAGUCACUUGAGCUACGAAAAGUUUCUAUCCCAAACUCGUCAUCCACUCUGAUUUGUGACACAUCGAUCAACAAAUUAAGACUUUUCAUAACAUCUUUUGGUAGAGAUGUUUUCAAUAGUAUUCAUAACUUGGCACAUCCUGGUACUACUUUCACGGUCAAAAUGAUAGCUAACAAUAUGUUUGGCCCUCAAUGAACAAAUGUGUAGAGAAUGGGCACGUUCCUAUUCAGGUUGUCAAAAAUCGAAAAUCUCAAGACAUGUAAAAACCUCUCUCGGACAUUUUGAACCCGUCUAAAAACAUUUUGAUGAUAUUCAUAUCGAUAUAGUCAGUCGGACCACUACUCGCAUCUUAAGAUUUUUGUUGCCUCCUUACCAUCAUCGAUAGAUACACUCGUUGGACAGAGGCAAUUCCUUUGCGUGACAUUAACGUUGAAACAGUAGCAACCGCGUUAUUUAAGGAAUGGUUUGGUCGUUAUGGCAUACCUACCUCAGUAGUAACCGAUCAAGGAGCGCAAUUCGAAUCGCAGUUUUUAACGAGGUAUGCAAGAAAUUAGAGAUUAAGGAUUAAACAAAAUCGAACUACAGCUUAUAACCCGAAAGCCAAUGGUCUAUUUGAAAGAUGGCACCGAACACUUAAAGCCUCUCUCAAAUGUCACAAUGAUCCACAAAGAGUCUUCCAUUUGUUCUACUAGGCCUGCGGUCGGCUUACCGGGAAGAUUUCAAAGCAAGUUCUGCAGAGCUCACAUUUGGUAAAACAAUACGUUUACCCUCAGAUUUUUUCGUAUCCGAAAAAACCUCAGUACACCAGUUUCGCCAGACAAUUGAAUCAAGAUUUUAAAAGAAUACAGCCAAGUUCACCUACUCGCAAACGCCAAGAAAAAACUUUUAUUUUCAAAGAACUCGAAACUUGCACGCACUUGUUUGUCCGGGUAGACAAAAUCCGAAAACCUUUAAAGCGACCUUUUGACGGCCAAUUUGAAAUAAUACCGCGAAAUAAUAAAACGCUUAAGCAGCUGAUUAACGGUAUUAAACAUACAAUAAACAUCGACCAUUUACAGCCUUAUUUCGGUUUAAAUUUAAAAAUACAUGAAAAAACCCUGCAAUACAAAUACCACCUGUUACCAAAUCCAAGAAAAAAGUAUCUUUUGCAACAAACCACACCUCAGACCAACCGGAAAUAAGAAGCAGAAGAGGACUCCUCAUCGAACGCCCUCUAAGAUGUCGUUGAAUCGAGUUCUCUGAGAUUCAACUGCCGGGGAAGUGCUGUAGCGGCAACAAUGCUGGCUGAACUCAGCCACUCAACGAACUAAAAUUUAAACGAAACUUGUUAGAAGGUCGGCAGAUCGAAAGACCUACAUAUAGAUUAAAAACCAUUCUAAUUUCGACUUGCAAAAAUGUACCUUGCUCUAUUUAUUGAUACUUGUUGAAAAAUUUAUUAAACAAAAUAAAGUUAAAUUUAAUAUAUCGUCGCUGUUAAAGAAAAUUUAUUAAACAAAAUGAAGUUAAAUUUAAUAUAUCAUCGCUGUUAAAGAAAACCCGCAUAACUCAAAAAUCUUAAUUCUUCAGAAAAGUUGUUUUAAAUUUUCAAGGUUAGGUAUCAAUUUUCCAUACUGGGGUUGGGGUCGAAAUUCUGUAUGGGCCAAAAUUCGGAUUCCAAAAUUCUGUAUUCCGAAAUUCUGUAUUUUAAAAUUCUGCAAAUUCAAAAUUCUGUAAAUUCAAAAUUCUGUAUUCUAAAAUUCUGUAAAUACAAAAUUCUGGAUUUCAAAAUUCUGGAUUUCAAAAUUCUGUAUUCCAAAAUUCUGUAUUCCAAAA